UAUGGUUUACUUUUAAAUGGUCUUUAUCCUAAAAAUUUAUAAUUGAACUAACUUGGUGAUUUAUUUAUUUUUAGUUUAUAAUAUUUUUUUUAUUAUUAAAUAGAAAUCUAAAUGAUUUCAAAAUUGAUUGAGUCCAAUUGUUUUAAUAGUAGACGCAAUAAUAAUAGUGAUUAGUCUAUUUAAAAUAGAUUUCUUUUGUAGUCCUUUAUAAAUUGGACAUAUAAAAGAUAUACGUGUAACCAUUACACAUAUAUCUAUAUAUACACGCUACUUUAUCCAUCUAUAGUUAUAAAAGAAAAAUACGUGACUUUAUGAAAAGGAUGCAUGGUUAUUAAUAUUGAUGAUGUUAAUCUUCAUGCUAAUUUUUUUGAAUAAAUAAAGAUAGAUUGGUACAAACAAAUUUUCAUACUUAUCAAAGUUUUCCAAUCACUUGUAUAAAUAGUGUGGUCAGGGACGCAAACGGGGGAAGGCACUGAAUUCCAGAUUCUUUCUUUUCCUUUUUCGUAUAUAGGUUUCAUCACAGUAUUUCAAAUUUAAAGCAAGUUAAGUUUUGCAGUUCUGGAGUCGAGGUGGCCAUGGAAGUCGAGAAUGACUAGAGAUUUAGUAUUUCCAUAUAAAUUUAAGUUGAAACAUGUUACUUUUUAGUUUAUCAUUUUAUUUCAUGUUACUACUUUAGUUUUGACAAGUUGAUUUUAAAUUGGUUUAAACUUUUAUAAUUCAAGAAAUUUUAUUUUUAUCUAUUAGUUUUCAAAGAUUUUAUAUUGCAAAGUUUAUGAAAAUUGGGGUGUUACAAUAACAAAGCAACAUGAUAUGCAAAUUAUCUGUUUGUUUUUGUGGUUAUCUGUGUUACGUAAUUUGCUUUAUUACCAUGGUUUAUGGAUUUGCAACAUGCUAAUUUUUGUUUCCUUUUCAUUCUUGCAGGUGGAAUUACUCUGAAUGUAGUGUGAGCUUAUUUCUAUUUUGAGCAUAUGAGGCCUGCAGCUUAUCGAUGAUGAUGAGGUUUAUCUUUCUUAGGUUUAUCUUCUUGGAACUCAUCUUCACUACCUUAGGUGCUUUUAACCCUUGAUAAUUAUAGUAUCGAGAGUAUGGUGUAUACUUUGUCCGUGGCUGAUUCUUGGUCAAAUUUAUGUUCUGUCCAGUUAUUUUCUUUACGUGGCAAUGUGUAGGUUCUACCACCUCUAUAUAUCAUAUGAUGAGAUUAAACACUUCAUUUGAUAUUCUCA